UACGUAGGGUGCAAGCGUUGUCCGGAAUUAUUGGGCGUAAAGGGCUCGUAGGCGGUCCGUCACGUCGGCUGUGAAAACCCGGGGCUCAACCCCGGGCCUGCAGUCGAUACGGGCGGACUAGAGUUCGGCAGGGGAGACUGGAAUUCCUGGUGUAGCGGUGAAAUGCGUAGAUAUCGAGAGGAACACCAGUGGCGAAGGCGAGUCCCUGGACAACGACUGACACUGAGGCACGAAAGCUAGGGGAGCAAACAGG
rnacentral:rRNA from 1 species